rnacentral:rRNA from 1 species
GAUGAACGCUGGCGGCGUGCUUAACACAUGCAAGUCGAACGAUGAAGCCCAGCUUGCUGGGUGGAUUAGUGGCGAACGGGUGAGUAACACGUGAGUAACCUGCCCUUAACUCUGGGAUAAGCCUGGGAAACUGGGUCUAAUACCGGAUAGGAGCGUCCACCGCAUGGUGGGUGUUGGAAAGGUUUAUCGGUUUUGGAUGGACUCGCGGCCUAUCAGCUUGUUGGUGAGGUAAUGGCUCACCAAGGCGACGACGGGUAGCCGGCCUGAGCGGGUGACCGGCCACACUGGGACUGAGACACGGCACAGACUCCUACGGGAGGCAGCGGUGCGGAAUAUUGCACAGUGGGCGCAAGCCUGAUGCAGCGACGCCGCGUGAGGGAUGACGGCCUUCGGGUUGUAAUCCUCUUUCAGUAGGGAAGAAGCGAAAGUGACGGUACCUGCAGAAGAAGCACCGGCUAACUACGUG